AGUAGUUGACUCGUGCUCAGGACACGCUGGCGGCGUGCUUAACACAUGCAAGUCGAACGGAAAGGCCCGCAUCAUUUUUGUGUGGGGGUGCUCGAGUGGCGAACGGGUGAGUAACACGUGGGUGAUCUGCCCUGCACUUCGGGAUAAGCUUGGGAAACUGGGUCUAAUACCGGAUAGGACCAUGGUUUAGCAUCUCAUGGUGGAAAGAUUAUUGUUUUGGUGUAGGAUGAGCCCGCGGCCUAUCAGCUUGUUGGUGGGGUAAUGGCCUACCAAGGCGUCGACGGGUAGCCGGCCUGAGAGGGUGGACGGCCACAUUGGGACUGAGAUACGGCCCAGACUCCUACGGGAGGCAGCAGUGGGGAAUAUUGCACAAUGGGCGCAAGCCUGAUGCAGCGACGCCGCGUGGGGGAUGACGGCCUUCGGGUUGUAAACUCCUUUCGUUAGGGACGAAGCCACAUUUUUUGGGUGUGGUGACGGUACCUUUGUUAAGAAGCACCGGCUAACUACGUG
rnacentral:rRNA from 1 species